UCUCUUCCGUCUGGAGAUUUCAUAGAGUUAAGAAUUCUAAUGGCUGACUGCUCUGUUUCUCUGGUCGUUCAGCUUUUACCCCUGAAUAUCUGACUCUGGGUUUUUAUUAUUAAGGCCAAUUAGAAGUCGUGCUACAAGGAGGAAAAGCAAGGGAGCAGGCCAGCCCCAGGUUCACACGCCUGUCCUGCACUACAGCGCCCACUCAGACGGAGCUAAGAGAAGAGAAGUGCAUGGACACCUGGGUCCCAGUUGCAGGGAUUCACUAAAGUUGCCUUGAGGCAAGAAGAUAGAGACUUCUUUUGAUGCUAAGCACAAAAUGGCAGCAUAGCCAGGACUAUAACGAUAGGCUUUCCUUCUUCAGCGUGGAAGUGAGCCUGAAACCUCCUCUGAGAGCACAUACAGACAUCAGUCACACAGGACUGACUUCUCUAACAUGUUGGGACACAACCGCACAAAAAGACAGGAAAGCAGAAGGGUGACCAGCUGUGCAGAGAAAGGGGGACAGCAGGAGUGGAAGUGAACUAGAGUGGAUAAUGGGGGUAAAUUUGAUCAAAAUGCAUUAUGUACAUGAAAAUGUCACAAUGAAAACAAUAUGUGUAGUAAGUAAAAACAAUUUAAGGUUUUA